rnacentral:rRNA from 1 species
AUUGAACGCUGGCGGCAGGCCUAACACAUGCAAGUCGACCGAGUGGCGGACGGGUGAGUAAUGUCUGGGAAACUUCCUGAUGGAGGGGGAUAACUACUGGAAACGGUAGCUAAUACCGCAUACCAUCGGAUGUGCCCAGAUGGGAUUAGCUAGUAGGUGGGGUAAAGGCUCACCUAGGCGACGAUCCCUAGCUGGUCUGAGAGGAUGACCAGCCACAGUGGAACUGGGACACGGUCCAGCUUCCGACGUGAGGCAGCAGUGGGGAAUAUGGCACGAUGGGCGCAAGCCUGAUGCAGCCAUGGCGCGUGUAUGAAGAAGGCCGUGGGGUUGUAAAGUACUUUCAUCGGGGAGGCGUUACUCGCAGAAGAAGCACCGGCUAACUCCGUGCCAGCAGCCGCGGUAAUUC